AACGAACGCUGGCGGCAUGCCUAACACAUGCCAGUCGAGCGAGACCUUCGGGUCUAGUGGCGCACGGGUGCGUAACGCGUGGGAAUCUGCCCUUGGGUUCGGAAUAACAGUUGGAAACGACUGCUAAUACCGGAUGAUGACGUACGUCCAAAGAUUUAUCGCCCAAGGAUGAGCCCGCGUAGGAUUAGCUAGUUGGUGAGGUAAAGGCUCACCAAGGCGACGAUCCUUAGCUGGUCUGAGAGGAUGAUCAGCCACACUGGGACUGAGACACGGCCCAGACUCCUACGGGAGGCAGCAGUGGGGAAUAUUGGACAAUGGGCGAAAGCCUGAUCCAGCAAUGCCGCGUGAGUGAUGAAGGCCUUAGGGUUGUAAAGCUCUUUUACCCGGGAUGAUAAUGACAGUACCGGGAGAAUAAGCGCCGGCUAACUCCGUG
rnacentral:rRNA from 1 species